CUUCAAAUUAAUGGACGAAAGUGAAAUUUGUAUCUAUGAAAUUAGUCUUCAGAAUAAUGUUGAUAUAAUUUAUGAAGAUACGAAGGAUUUAUGUAAAAACAUAUAUGAAGUAUAAUAAAUUAUUUUACAAAUGUUUAAGUACAA